rnacentral:sRNA from 1 species
GCCGGGCGUGGUGGCGCACGCCUGUAGUCCCAGCUACUCAGGAGGCUGAGGCAGAAGAAUUGCUUGAACCCGGGAAGCAGAGGUUGCAGUGAGCCAAGAUUAUGCCACUGUACUCCAGCCUGGGUGACAGAGUGAGACUCCGUCUCAA